GACGGAGGAUGCAAGCGUUAUCCGGAAUGAUUGGGCGUAAAGCGUCCGCAGGUGGCAGUUCAAGUCUGCUGUCAAAGCCCGGGGCUCAACCUCGGAAAGGCAGUGGAAACUACCAAGCUGGAGUACGGUAGGGGCAGAGGGAAUUUCCGGUGGAGCGGUGAAAUGCGUAGAGAUCGGAAAGAACACCAACGGCGAAGGCACUCUGCUGGGCCAACACUGACACUGAGAGACGAAAGCUAGGGGAGCAAAUGGG
rnacentral:rRNA from 1 species